ensembl:snRNA U4 U4 spliceosomal RNA
AGCUUUGCGCAGUGGCAGUAUCGUAGCCAAUGAGGUUUAUCUGAGGCGCAAUCAUUGCUAAUUGAAAACAAAGCCGUUACUAUAUACAUCAGCAGCAGCGAAUAGCUUUUCAUUAUUUUUCCAGAUUCUUUAAUU